CACACUGGCACUGCGACACGGGCCAGACUCCUACGGGAGGCAGCAGUAAGGAAUAUUGCGCAAUGGACGAAAGUCUGACGCAGCGACGCCGCGUGGGGGAUGAAGGUCUUCGGAUUGUAAACCCCUUUCGGCAGGGAAGAUGGAACGGGUAACCGUUCGGACGGUACCUGCAGAAGCAGCCACGGCUAACUUCGUGCCAGCCGCCGCCGUAACAC
rnacentral:rRNA from 1 species